rnacentral:rRNA from 1 species
UACGGGGGGGGUAAGCGUUGUUCGGAAUUACUGGGCGUAAAGAGCUCGUAGGCGGCUUGUUGCGUCGUCCGUGAAAACCUGUGGCUCAACCACAGGCUUGCGGUCGAUACGGGCGGGCUGGAGUUCGGUAGGGGAGACUGGAAUUCCUGGUGUAGCGGUGAAAUGCGCAGAUAUCGGGAGGAACAUCAGUGGCGAAGGCGGCCAUCUGGACUAACACUGACACUGAGACACGAAAGCGUGGGGAGCAAACAGG